rnacentral:lncRNA from 1 species
UAGCAGACAAACAUGUUUAAUAUACUUUGGCAGUAGUUUCAUAAGAUGGACUGCACAUCAAAUAGGUCUUCAUAAUUCAAUAUUUCCACCGAUUUUACAUAUUUUCUGCAGACCAUAUUAAUUGAUGUGGUAUCAUAAUUCCCCAACCUCCAAGAACAAAUUAAAAACUACUCGUAGAACCAGUAAAGGAUUGUAAGGUCAAAACAACACAGAUGGGCCUAAUUGUUUGAUCAAAUUUCAUGAUGAAGAGAGACAAGAAAGAUCGAUGAGAACAAAACACCAUACAUCAAUGAAGAUACUCAGCGAACCAAUUCGGGAAUCGAAGAAAACAGAUCCAAAUCACUACUUCCACAUAAACACAUGAAAUCAAAAAUAGUUAUGGCCAAUUAAAUAUAUAAAAGUUAAGAAUUAACCUGAAAUUCCUUUCAAUUAAUAAAAUUUCAGCGGUUAUACAGACUGAAUCGAAGAUACCGUUGCGACUGGAACUCGACACGAUGAUCCUCAAACCGGCAGCCUCGAACACUGGACUGUUUCCUGGAUCUGAGUUUAACCGGACAGACUCACAAAGAUAGGGAUGUGGACAUGACAACGAAUAGAAUUCAGGCCUUCGCCUUUGAGUAGAAGAACAAAAACAACUCCGUGCGUGUGUGUGUUUCCGACGAGUCCUGUGACAGGUUGGUAUUUGCUAUAUCAGUGAGCCAAUUCCGGAAUCGAAGAAAACAGAUCCAAAUCACUACUUCCACAUAAACACAUGAAAUCAAAAAUAGUUAUGGCCAAUUAAAUACAUGAAAGUUAAGAAUGAACCUGAAAUUCCUUUCAAUUAAUAAAAUUCCAGCGGUUACAAAGACUGAAUCGAAGAGAUCGUUGCAACCGGAACUCGACCUGAUGAUCCUUAUACCGACAGCCUCGAACACUAGAGUGUUUCCCAGAUCUGAGCUUAACCGGACAGCCUCAAAAAGAAGGGGAUGUGGACAUGACAACGAACAGAAUUCUGGCCUUCGCCUUUGAGUAGAAGAAUAAGGACAGCUCCAAGUGUGUGUGCGUGUUUCUUUUUAGAAGAUGCGCAUCCUUUUUAUUUUGUUCUCUCUCGUUGCAGAAUGUCUCCCUCCCCUCUUUCCCGUGCUCUCUCUGUUUUUUCUCCCUGUUAUUUCUGUUCCUCUUCUCCCGUUUCUAUCGUUUUUACUUAUGUCUUGUGCCUCCCGUUAUCCUCUAUCUCUCUC